GCCUAUGGCCAUACCACCCUGAAAAUGUCCAAUCUUGUCUGAUUUCAGAAGCUAAGCAGCGUUGGGCCUGGUUAGUAUUUGGAUGGGAGAAUUUGUUAAUAUGUAUCAAGUAACUAAAAUAU
rfam:Erinaceus europaeus unplaced genomic scaffold scaffold00386, whole genome shotgun sequence